UACGUAGGGUGCGAGCGUUGUCCGGAAUUAUUGGGCGUAAAGAGCUCGUAGGCGGUGUGUCACGUCGGCCGUGAAAACCUGCAGCUUAACUGUGGGCGUGCGGUCGAUACGGGCAUCACUGGAGUUCGGCAGGGGAGACUGGAAUUCCUGGUGUAGCGGUGAAAUGCGCAGAUAUCAGGAGGAACACCGGUGGCGAAGGCGGGUCUCUGGGCCGAUACUGACGCUGAGGCGCGAAAGCCAGGGGAGCGAACAGG
rnacentral:rRNA from 1 species